GCAGCAGGCCGCCUUAUCGUCGAGAUCCCCGCUUUCGCGAGGAUUUAGGAGGAAAGUCCGGACACCAUAGGGAAGCAUAGCGGCUAACGGCCGUCGUUAUUCCUGCGAAGGCAGGAAUUUCAGGACAAGUGCAGCAGAAAGUAUGUACAGGUAAUGCUGUAGUGAAACCAGGUAAACUCUAUGCGGUGAAAUGCCACGUAAACCUGUGCUUGAGGGUUCCCGCCCGAUGCAGGAGGGUAGGCAGAUUGAGCGUUUCGGUAACGGAACGCCUAGAUAAAUGAUAAGGAUUCGUCUUUGGAUGGAUACAGAACCCGGCUUAUAGGCCUGCUUUUUUA
rnacentral:RNase_P_RNA from 2 species